GAUGGCUUUCAGCUUCUGUUUUUUGAAAAGUAGCGCGCUCAGACCAGCUCGCUCACUCGUUUCCUCUUCAAAUUUUUAGGGCAAUUGUUUGAAAGACGAAGCUCAUUCAGGUCUCCUUGGGUUUGCAACCCUUACCCUCCUAGAAAAAAAUCAUAGUUGCUAGACUACGACACUUCAGACCUGGUACUAACUGUUAUUAGAGCCGCUAAUAAUGGACGACGAGCUAUUUUCCGCUAUCCGGAGCUCAAGCAUUUGAGCCGCAAAAUGGACGAGACUCCUGGGGGAAAGGAUGCAGAGAAUGAGGAGAAAACACUCGUAUGGAGCAGGGAGUAGGUAUUGUACUACUUCCUGGUAUGGAGCACUGAGAAGCGCUCUCACCGUCCAGGAGCGACACUGACUCGCACUGCUAUCUGGUGUUCACGAGGUGUUUGUCGCGCUGCAAACGGAGCGUCUCUAGUUCUAGCAUCCGUAGCUGCCUCAGGGGGUGCCACUUCUCCCAUCAGCGUCGACUCCGCCGAUCUCACUCAGCUCUGCUCUCCGAGCAUGCUGCUUCCAACACGACUUCCCGAAAGAAAAUGUGCUCGCGCAUUAGAAGGAGGUGAAAGAUGCACCUGCAGGAGAAUACAUGCUGAAGAGAAGGCAGAAACAUGCCCGGAUCCACCAGAACUAGUGCUGGCAAGUCAACAGAGGCGAGUACUGAUAAUGUUCCAGAUUGUGGUAGGAUCACAUAAGCAAAAUU